rnacentral:lncRNA from 10 species
AAGUGAUCCACCCACCUCGGCUUCCCAAAGUGCUGGGAUUAUAGGCGUGAGGCACCGUGCCUUGCCGAUAAAUGGAUUUUAAGCUGAGUCUUUGAGGGAAGAGUAGGACCUGCACUGAAACAAAAAGACAAUUUGUGGGGUUGGGGAGAGGAACCAGAUGUAAACAAUGGAAAGGUUUUGGUGUCACUUUGAGAAGGAUUUUUUGGAAGGGUUUUGCAAUGUCCAUUCUGUAUCUUGGGUUAACACUAGUAAGUCAAAUGGAGAAUAAUUUGAGUGUCACUCAUUCCUACAGAUAGAAAAAUUUUAAAGUAGCUUGGGCCGGGAUUUUCCUUUUAUCAUGUGCCAUUGUGUACGUGUCUGCUACUUCAUUUAGUUCCUUUUUUAAAAAUGGAAUUUUUAUCACUUCUGUGCAAAGGUUAAAUUUUUUUAAUAAAUUAAUAAUGGAAUGUUUAAGCCUUCCUCAAAAAAACAUAGUGUAUACUGUAUGGGGUUCAGUAUUAGCUGUGGUUUCAGGCAUCCUCUGUAGAGGUCUUGGAAUAUAUCCCU